rnacentral:lncRNA from 1 species
AGUAAAAUAUUAAAAAGCUGAGGUGAAGUACAGGUUUAAAUUGUUUUAUUUACUCAUAUUACUUUAGAACUAUCGGCUAUUCCUACCAUGUAAUGAUCUAUAAUUAUCUUAAUGCCAAGAGAUAUCUUCAUGUUUGUUUGUCAGCUUUAUUUAUCCUUUAGCCAUUCAUAUUAGCAGAUCUCCUAAGCAUAGAAUAGUGAAGAAAGAAACAAUUAUGAUAAAAAUGAGUCGGUAGAAUAAUAACCAAACACAGACCCAUGUGUGAUACGAUAUUAAGUCUUUUAUGUACUGAUUCUUCAUUGGUAAAACCUUACUAAGUAGUGUCAAUGGAAGACCUCCAACAUGUCGAGCACGUUGCUUUCUCAAUAUUGAUAGAUAUCUGCUUCAUUUGAUAUGGGGAUUAUUUUAUAUUAGAUGAGAGACUGACUGAAUCUUUUGGCCAAGAAGAUUUUGCCACAUGCGACUUUAAAUUCCAAGGAUUUUCACUUUUAGAACCCACAUACAAUAAUGUUCUCUGAAAUGCAUGCUAAUAUGUAGUGUCCUAAUCAUGAAAAAAUGUGAAUCCUCACGUAUGUAUGUGAGAACCGAUUAAAGACAUUGGCAAGAUUCAUAAUAUUUAAAGGAUACAACACAUGUCUGGCAUAAAAUGCUUUAUACUGUUAAGAAGGAUCUUCACUUUUAUUUCUUGAAUAAGAAUCAGAGAUGGCUAAAAAUGCUAGAAUGUAUCUUACGGGUUUUUUGUUUGCUUUUGUUCAUCUCUUUGUUUUUUGUCACAUACAUUCAAAACUUCAAAAAUAAGAAUAAGGCAAUAUUCUCCAUGGCAGUUACCACUGACUGAAGAGUACUUAUCAUUUUCCAAUGGUUUCCUAAUAAUUCUCACAUCGUCAUUCCACAAUGACUUUGGUCUCCCUCAGAUAACAUAAUGAAUUUUCAAGCACUUCUAGGAAAUAAUAUUUAAAGUUUUAAGCAUCUAUACAAAGCUGGCUACACUUAUCAUAAAUGCUAUGAAGACUGAAUCCAAUUCCUGGACAUUGUUUUCCUAGAAGAAUUUAGAG